GAUGAACGCUAGCUACAGGCUUAACACAUGCAAGUCGAGGGGCAGCAUGACCUAGCAAUAGGUUGAUGGCGACCGGCGCACGGGUGAGUAACACGUAUCCAACCUGCCGAUUAUUCCGGGAUAGCCUUUCGAAAGAAAGAUUAAUACUGGAUAGCAUAACGAGAAGGCAUCUUCUUGUUAUUAAAGAAUUUCGAUAAUCGAUGGGGAUGCGUUCCAUUAGUUUGUUGGCGGGGUAACGGCCCACCAAGACAUCGAUGGAUGGGGGUUCUGAGAGGAAGGUCCCCCACAUUGGAACUGAGACACGGUCCAAACUCCUACGGGAGGCAGCAGUGAGGAAUAGUGGUCAAUGGACGAGAGUCUGAACCAGCCAAGUAGCGUGAAGGAUGACUGCCCUAUGGGUUGUAAACUUCUUUUAUAUGGGAAUAAAGUGGGCCACGUGUGGCUUUUUGUAUGUACCAUACGAAUAAGGAUCGGCUAACUCCGUG
rnacentral:rRNA from 1 species